rnacentral:rRNA from 1 species
GACGUAGGGGGCGAGCAUUGUCCGGAAUCAUUGGGCGUAAAGCGCGUGUAGGCGGUCCGGUAAGUCCGCUGUGAAAGUCGGGGGCUCAACCCUCGGAUGCCGGUGGAUACUGUCGGGCUCGAGUACGGAAGAGGCGAGUGGAAUUCCUGGUGUAGCGGUGAAAUGCGCAGAUAUCAGGAGGAACACCAAUUGCGAAGGCAGCUCGCUGGGACGUUACUGACGCUGAGACGCGAAAGCGUGGGGAGCAAACAGG